AAUGAAAUAGUUAUAUAACAUCUGAAAUGCCAGAGCUAGAAUCAGAAUGCCUGGGUUCAAAUCCUGGUUUCACUA
rnacentral:tRNA from 1 species